UCUGACUCUAGAGCAGGCCUUUCCUGCCCGCUGUUGCUGUCUCCAGAAGCCUCUCUGAAUCUAAGGGUGGGAACUACUCCUCCUUGCCCUCGAGCCCUCGCCAAAGCCGGGGCUUGGAGCGGCCGUGGGCUCCUCCUCCUUCCCCCAGGCUGGGCUCUUCACGGGCGGGAGCCUGCCUGGCUCGCCUGCCUCGCUCGACCCUGUAGCCCCUCGCACGAAGUAGGUGCCCGUGAUGCCGAAUUAUUUCAGCAGGAGGGCAGGGGUGUUCCCGAUGAAGACAGGAGACCAGGGAGGAGAAGCGACUCCCGGGGCCACCCAUGUGUAGAUCUCGGAGCCAGGCAAGAGCCAGGUCCCUUGGGUCCGGGAGCGCGCUCGGGGCUCCUCCUCGCCCGUGCCCCCCGCGCCCCCUGCGCUCCCCGCGCUCGCGUCUGCGGGGUCGGGAGGAGGGGGCGGCGUCGCCGGGCCGGGGCGGGCACCGAGGCCUGGCGGGCGGGCCUGGAGCGCUUUCGUGCCUGCCAGGGAAAGGCUGGAGAGGAGGCUAGGGGCGGACGCAGGGAGAAAAGAAGCAACGGGGUGUUUUUGCCUUUUGACAUUUUAAAAAGAAGUGCAGAUUCGCUUCCCGGAGCCGGGCUGGCAGCCUGCGCUAUGGUUAGGAACCAACGUGGGGCGCGGGCUGGGGCAGGGGAGGGAGGCGGCCGCAGCGGGGGCCCGGGAGCGCAGGGCGGGCCUGGAAGAGCUCCGCCCCAAGGGGCGCGGCCACCCUGGAGGCGGGCGCACGGCUGCUUCUCAUUCAUUGUCUUGACAAGAGCAUCCUCAGCGGGCGAGUCCCCGGCUCCUCCAGCUCCUUCCUCCUCUUCCUCCUCCUCCUCCACCUCCGGCUUUUGGGGGGUCACUGUCCUCUCUCUGCAGCAGGUGAGGCUGGGCCCAGGAGGCGCGGGUGGACCGGGGCGAGGGCCACCUGUGGGGCCGCGCGCGUGUGGGAGCCGCGGGUUGCGGGGGCGCGCGGCUGUCACCGCGACCCAGCCAGCGCCGGGGCCAGGGAGCGGGCGCAGCAGCCCGUGGGGGGACGCUGCCUGGAGUGGGGGCCGCCGGGGCCCCAGAGCGCUCUGCGGAGGCGAGGGCGAGGGACCACCGCGGCCAAGAUGGAGGUGGGCAGCCGGGGGUCAGCACAGUGUCGAGGGCCCGACUCCCCCCGGAAUUAAGUCUCAGGGAGGGUGGGGACGGGGACAGGGUGGGGUGAGUGGGGCAGCUGCCCUGGGCUUGGAGACAGGAAGGGGUUGA
rnacentral:lncRNA from 1 species